GACGAACGCUGGCGGCGUGCCUAAUACAUGCAAGUCGAGCGGACCGACGGGAGCUUGCUCCCUUGGGUCAGCGGCGGACGGGUGAGUAACACGUGGGUAACCUGCCUGUAAGACUGGGAUAACUCCGGGAAACCGGGGCUAAUACCGGAUGCUUGAUUGAACCGCAUGGUUCAAUCAUAAAAGGUGGCUUUUAGCUACCACUUGCAGAUGGACCCGCGGCGCAUUAGCUAGUUGGUGAGGUAACGGCUCACCAAGGCGACGAUGCGUAGCCGACCUGAGAGGGUGAUCGGCCACACUGGGACUGAGACACGGCCCAGACUCCUACGGGAGGCAGCAGUAGGGAAUCUUCCGCAAUGGACGAAAGUCUGACGGAGCAACGCCGCGUGAGUGAUGAAGGUUUUCGGAUCGUAAAACUCUGUUGUUAGGGAAGAACAAGUACCGUUCGAAUAGGGCGGCACCUUGACGGUACCUAACCAGAAAGCCACGGCUAACUACGUGCCAGCAGCCGCGGUAAUACGUAGGUGGCAAGCGUUGUCCGGAAUUAUUGGGCGUAAAGCGCGCGCAGGCGGUUUCUUAAGUCUGAUGUGAAAGCCCCCGGCUCAACCGGGGAGGGUCAUUGGAAACUGGGGAACUUGAGUGCAGAAGAGGAGAGUGGAAUUCCACGUGUAGCGGUGAAAUGCGUAGAGAUGUGGAGGAACACCAGUGGCGAAGGCGACUCUCUGGUCUGUAACUGACGCUGAGGCGCGAAAGCGUGGGGAGCGAACAGGAUUAGAUACCCUGGUAGUCCACGCCGUAAACGAUGAGUGCUAAGUGUUAGAGGGUUUCCGCCCUUUAGUGCUGCAGCAAACGCAUUAAGCACUCCGCCUGGGGAGUACGGUCGCAAGACUGAAACUCAAAGGAAUUGACGGGGGCCCGCACAAGCGGUGGAGCAUGUGGUUU
rnacentral:rRNA from 1 species